rnacentral:rRNA from 1 species
UACGUAGGGUGCGAGCGUUGUCCGGAAUUAUUGGGCGUAAAGAGCGCGUAGGCGGUCCGGUAAGUCGGCUGUGAAAGUCAAGGGCUCAACCCUUGAAAGCCGGCCGAUACUGUCGGACUAGAGUGCGGAAGGGGCAACUGGAAUUCUCGGUGUAGCGGUGAAAUGCGUAGAUAUCGAGAGGAACACCUGCGGCGAAGGCGGGUUGCUGGGCCGACACUGACGCUGAUGCGCGAAAGCCAGAGGAGCGAACGGG